rnacentral:rRNA from 1 species
UGACGUAGGGUGCGAGCGUUGUCCGGAAUUACUGGGCGUAAAGAGCUCGUAGGUGGUUUGUCGCGUUGUUCGUGAAAACUCACAGCUUAACUGUGGGCGUGCGGGCGAUACGGGCAGACUGGAGUACUGCAGGGGAGACUGGAAUUCCUGGUGUAGCGGUGGAAUGCGCAGAUAUCAGGAGGAACACCGGUGGCGAAGGCGGGUCUCUGGGCAGUAACUGACGCUGAGGAGCGAAAGCGUGGGGAGCGAACAGG